rnacentral:rRNA from 1 species
UACGUAGGUGGCAAGCGUUGUCCGGAAUUUAUUGGGCGUAAAGCGCGCGCAGGCGGUCCUUUAAGUCUGAUGUGAAAGCCCACGGCUCAACCGUGGAGGGUCAUUGGAAACUGGGGGACUUGAGUGCAGGAGAGAAGAGUGGAAUUCCACGUGUAAGCGGUGAAAUGCGUAGAGUAUGUGGAGGAACACCAGUGGCGAAGGC